rnacentral:piRNA from 1 species
UUACAUUUCUAAUGUUAUUCCCUUUCCUG